rnacentral:misc_RNA from 1 species
GUACUACUGAAAAGUAUGGUCGUUGUAUCUGUUAUAUUGAAUUAAGCAAUGUAUCUACCUUUUGCGUUUCGGCAAUUGCAAGCUAGAUUGCUGUUUCUGUUUUGCAAAGAAGUGUCAAUACUUGAUCAAGUUAACAUGUAAUAGGCAUAUUCCCUCUCCACUUUCUGUCUCUUAGGCGUUUGAUUUAUAAUUUUCAGGGCCGAGACGCU